GGAAAAGAAAGGGAAAAAGGAAAAGAAAGGGAAAAAGGAAAAGAAAGAGAUAAGGAAAGGCAAAGAGGUCG
rnacentral:ribozyme from 1 species